rnacentral:rRNA from 1 species
GAUGAACGCUGGCGGCGUGCCUAAUACAUGCGAGUCGAGCGAACAGACGAGGAGCUUGCUCCUCUGAUGUUAGCGGCGGACGGGUGAGUAACACGUGGAUAACCUACCUAUAAGACUGGGAUAACUUCGGGAAACCGGAGCUAAUACCGGAUAACAUGUUGAACCGCAUGGUUCAACAGUGAAAGACGGUCUUGCUGUCACUUAUAGAUGGAUCCGCGCCGCAUUAGCUAGUUGGUAAGGUAACGGCUUACCAAGGCAACGAUGCGUAGCCGACCUGAGAGGGUGAUCGGCCACACUGGAACUGAGACACGGUCCAGACUCCUACGGGAGGCAGCAGUAGGGAAUCUUCCGCAAUGGGCGAAAGCCUGACGGAGCAACGCCGCGUGAGUGAAGAAGGUCUUAGGAUCGUAAAACUCUGUUAUUAGGGAAGAACAAAUGUGUAAGUAACUAUGCACGUCUUGACGGUACCUAAUCAGAAAGCCACGGCUAACUACGUG